rnacentral:rRNA from 1 species
UACGGAGGAUCCGAGCGUUAUCCGGAUUUAUUGGGUUUAAAGGGUGCGUAGGCGGUUUGAUAAGUUAGAGGUGAAAUGUCGGGGCUCAACCCCGAAACUGCCUCUAAUACUGUUGGACUAGAGAAUAGUUGCGGUAGGCGGAAUGUAUGGUGUAGCGGUGAAAUGCUUAGAUAUCACGCAGAACCCCGAUUGCGAAGGCAGCAUGCCGGCUUCCUACUGACGCUGAAGCACGAAAGCGUGGGGAUCGAACAGG